UGGCCCCAAUAGCCCACACAUCUGACAGCCCGCUGUGGACAGAGACCAGGCAUCCAUCUUGAAGGUUACAGGUUCUGUCCACUUGGAAUAUACUCACCUUCACCUUCUCUAACCACUGUAGGGAGUGGACGUUCAUCUUGAGAGACUCAGAUCCUUUAUCAGGAGAAGCCAUCUUGCAUCCAGUGGCAACACCAAGUCUUUCGAUAUGGAUCUGUGAAUGAGAAUCUUACAAUUAUCCAUCUAAUCAUCACUUAUCCCAAAUCAGCACAACCACAGAGAAGCCAUGUGAGGAUGGAGGGGCUGGAGGGACCAGACUGUGCGCAGGUCUGGCUCCUAAAAUGCAAACAUGCAAAAGAAAGAGAGGAGUAGCUGUCGUUCCUCAAGCUGACAAAUUCUGCAUCUUUCAUCUGACAGCGAGGGGAGGGACCGAUCUGACUUUGAAACUCUACAACAUCUGGUCAAGGAAAAGUACAGCCCCGCCUGAAACUGAAUAAAACAGGGAUAAGUGUGUUCCCACUGCUUCCUUUGUAUUGA